rnacentral:tRNA from 1 species
AUCCAUAUAGUAUAAAAAUUACAUUUAACUUCCAAUUAAAAAAUCUAGAAAUAGUAUAGAUA